rnacentral:rRNA from 1 species
UACGUAGGGGGCAAGCGUUGUCCGGAAUCAUUGGGCGUAAAGCGCGCGUAGGCGGCCCGGUAAGUCCGCUGUAAAAGUCCAGGGCUCAACCCUGGAAAGCCGGUGGAUACUGUCGGGCUAGAGUCCGGAAGAGGCGAGUGGAAUUCCUGGUGUAGCGGUGGAAUGCGUAGAUAUCGGGGAGGAACACCAGUGGCGAAGGCGGUUGCCUGGGGCUUUGCUGACGCUGAUGCGCGAAAGCGUGGGGAGCGAUCCGGUG